UACGUAGGGGGCAAGCGUUGUCCGGAAUUAUUGGGCGUAAAGCGCGCGCAGGCGGCGACUUAAGUCUGGUGUUUAAGCCCGGGGCUCAACCCCGGUACGCACUGGAAACUGGGUGGCUGGAGUGCAGGAGAGGGGAGUGGAAUUCCACGUGUAGCGGUGAAAUGCGUAGAGAUGUGGAGGAACACCAGUGGCGAAGGCGACUCUCUGGCCUGUAACUGACGCUGAGGCGCGAAAGCGUGGGGAGCAAACAGG
rnacentral:rRNA from 2 species